GAGUCUCUCUCUCCAGGGCUUCUUUUUCGAAUCUCAUCACAGCUGGCCAUUUGCGCCUGACUUUGUAGCGAGGCCUUUGAGGUUUUAAUCAGUGAGCCCCUGCUUAUCUCUUUGCCCGCUGCUCUUUGCCCUUUAAUGGUCUUUAUGUAGCUUUAUGCUUCCAGACCCACUGAAAUUUAAAAAUGUAAGAGCACCCAGCGCGGGUACUGGCCUGCCCCCAAGAAAGAGCAGUAAUGAAUGCACCAUUUCCUCCCUGGAAAUUCAGAAUUGGUCAUCAUCAGAUGGCAUCGUGCAAGAAGAGUGAUUCUGCCAAAUGGGUUCUCUGAUGGUUUUAUUGUCCCCGCUAUCUCAUAGUUCUCUUCAUAUUUACAAAAGAUAAUAAGAAACGAGGAUCAUGGACAAACACCCAUAGUCACUGAAAUCAAUUUAUUUGAAAAUUCUGAGUGGGCAAGAGGAUAGAAUCCUCCGUGGAAAGGAAUGAAUGUUGCUAUGGAAACCAGACCAUCCUUUAGUGCAAGCCCCAAAGCACUUGCCAGGCUGCCUAACCCUGCAUACUAACAUGAGUCCAGAGAGCUGCCUGCAUCUCCGAAGAGAGAUUAUUCAGAUAUCGGCCUGAUGAACUUCUAUGCAUCUUGAGAAAAGGAAGUCAGAGUCUCCUGGGAGUAGCUGCACUUCCUAGAACAUUAAGACACUCGAGGCCCACAAACCAUAGCUGAGUGGGAUGACUAUAUUGGCUACCUGUGACAGCUUUCCAGAGGGCCCCUGAGAAAAAGUGCAGGUGGGGAUGACUCAAACAAUGUUCAUAGUUGCUGGCAAAACAACUUUACAUCUAUGCCUUGGAAAUCAGCAGAAGGACAUGAAUAGAUAAUUUAUAGAUGAAAUAAAA